rnacentral:rRNA from 1 species
AAAUAGAACUUUGCAGAGAGAGUUAACAGGGCGUGAAACCGUUGAUUGGCAAACGAAUCGGAGCCACGAAGUCGUUUCGCUGUUAGUUGGGCGGAGUUCAGUUCGCGCCGAAAGACGCGGGCGUAUUCUCACGCUCAUCCAACUUGUAAGCGUACACUGCAACCUGUUAGACGAUCAGCUGUGGGCUGAGUGACGUAGAGCGAGCAAUCGCGCUGCGGCACGCAUUGUCUGUUCGCUCGCGGUAGUAGUAGCGCAACUGACUUCGGUCUUUCUGUGUUGCUGGCCGCGUGGCGGGUGAACUACAGCUGAAUACUGACAGGCGAAAUGAAAACCGUUUAAAAACGUUAGAGAAAAUGUAGUUGGCCACAUGGAUGUCUACACGUUCGACUGUUAGGUCUAAGCUUGGCAUUUUUGAAUUCAGACCUGCUUGCUACCAGUGGGGCAACUCCUGGUGCUUGUAUGGCUUCUGUCUAAUCGGGUGUCGACUUGGCUUGGCAUCGUUCGGGCGUGAAUCGAUCGGAUGUUUAUGUGAGCUAAUUCGCAAUUUGAAUUGGCAGUGAGUAGGUCGGCUUUCCGAACGA